UCAGUGGCUCCAUGAAGUACUCUCUGAUGGUGGUCCGAGGGCCAUCCAUUGUGGCACCUUGCUGCGCUGGUCCCUGGAGUUAGUUCCAGCACCAGAGGGCCAUAUGGAACUAACCAUAAUUUAUCUCAGGUUAGUAUCUCUCCCGGUGGCUCUCUGCUAGCCUCAAACUUUCUGGUUCCAGCUACCCAGUAAAAUAAAGACUCAACAAACUGCAACCCAACAAUUGGGUUUAUAUGUUAAAUUCUCAGUCCACAAUACAUUCACACAAUAAACUCACAACCAAUCGAUAAGGAUAUAAACUGCCCACCUAGAUAAGAUAAAUUGACCUAUAGAAACUCAUCCCUUAAGAAGUAUUCAUAACAACCUGUGUCUAUGCAGGGAUGCAUGGCAAGGAUUGUUUAUGUCUGCCUCUGUGUUGCUUCUCCCUUCCUUUCUGCCUCUCCCUUCCUUCCUUUGUUCCUGCCGCCCUUCCUUCUCGUCCAAUGACAGGCCUCAUUUUAUCUUGUGUCUGCCUUCACCUGCACAACAUCAACCCACACUUUGCCCUUUCUAUCCAAUUAAAAAACAAACAACCUUUUCUCUCAAAUGUUAUCUGAGCACAACUAUUAUCAUUUUGUGAUAUACCUAACACCCAGUUCAACAUUUUAUCAGUUAAACAGAACAUUUAGUUAUCUAUUCCAGCUUAAGAAAGGCUUAAAAUCUGUUAUGUCCUGACUAGCUUGUAUACUAUCUGAUAAUAUCUAAUUAAAUAUGUGUUUUCAAAGGUAAACAACCUUGGUAGGCUAUGACUAAACUAGUUUCAACCCCGUCAGAAAUCUGAGAAUGACCAAUAUUAUCUGAAAAUAUAGGAAGCCUAACACAGCUUCCUGGACUGAGACAGGUUGAAGAGACAAUCGUCUACUUUGACAGUCCCCUGUUAACAACAUGUGAGAGCAAGUCUUCAGCCCUCUGGCCUAGGAUCAUCUGACAGACUUUUGAAAUGCAGAAUUAUGAAGGGCUGAUCAUUCUGGCUUGGCAGAGAUUUUCAGUCAACUAUGCUGCAAUGUGUCCUUUUCUGGACAGAAUUUUGUCUAUAGAAGAAAUAGGCAAUUUCUGCCCAGUGGCUACCUAGCCACAAUGUAUUAAGUCACCUGGAGGUGGAGACGCUCAAUUUCUUCCUUGAAUCCACCAAAGGGGGGGCUGUUAGGAGCAGUCACGCCUCCACAAAUGAUAAAUAACAACAAGUGUCACAUUUUAUGGAUUUCUGACGUUUCUGAAAACCAUCUAACUAUGUAAGUAAUCUGGACUAUUGUCCAUUAACUAUCUUAAUAAAUUAUCUUGGAAGCAUUCUAACAAUAAACAUAGAGCCACGAAUUUGCUAUCUGGUCCUUAACUCACAUAUAUAAUUAUUUCAGAUUAGUUUUGUUUGUUUGUUUGUUUGUUUUUUCCUUUUUUUUUUUUUUUCGGAGCUGGGGACCGAACCCAGGGCCUUGAGCUUCCGAGGCAAGCACUCUACCACUAAGCUAAAUCCCCAACCCUCAGAUUAGUUUUUUUAAUAGCAGUAAAGAACUGGGUAUAAGCCUUGUAUGCUUAAAUGUGUUGUAUAGGUUCAAUGCCUAUAUAUGAGAGUAACAAUAUUAAUUUUAAUUUUAAAUCUAUAAAAAUUCAUAUCAAAGAAAAUGUAUCAAAUAAAUUCUAUACCAAUAUAAAGGAUUAUAACUUUAGCUUAGUAACAAAUAUAAGGAUUUGUACCAAAUGAGAUUAUGGCUGUACAAUCAAUUUGAGCUAAUUCCUCCCUGUUAAAUUAUGACCAUUCUAAAUUCUCUAGAAAGACAACCUUAGAAUAACCAUUUUCGGCCUCCCAAAGUUUAGGGAAUUGGGCUGAUUACUCUUCAAUAACUUCUUCAAGCUGUAAGUGGGUAGUGUGAAAAUGAGAGAGUUGGUUAGGCCAUAAGAAGGUCACACCAAUGAUUAUUGUGGUCUCUGAUGUCUGUCCUGACUGGAUCCGGCUGAAAGUCCCUGAUCAGGAGUCCAAGCAGGCCAGCUCAGCAUUCUAAUGAUGAGACUCACCAAAGCUGCACAUUCUGUAAUAUAUAAACCUCAAAACAAAAUUUUAAUAUCAAGAUAUCUUUUUGUUUGGUUUUCUUGAAUACAGUUUUUCAGGAGGUCUACCUCUAUCAAAUCUAAUCAAUAUAGCUCCAGAAAGUGUCCAAAGCCUAACCACCCUUUUUAAAAACACAAAGACAAAACCUUUCUCCCAAAAUAGCGUGUCUUUAGUCUGUAACCAGAGCGUCUUACUCCACAGGUAGCAGGCUGCAAGGCUUGUGUGACCUUUGCUGGUUUUACUUAUGGCAUCCUAGAGAACUUUUUGUCAGCUCUUCUAUCUUUUCUUCACCACUGCAGCUGCGUAUCGUUCCAUGAUAUGCUAUCCAUUUAUUUCUUCAUGUUUUUCAGACUUUUGCUUUUAGGAACAGCGCAGUGAAGGGUUUCUGAACAGAGACUUUUGUGUUCAGAGUGUUCCGCAAAGAAUGCAUUCUUAGUCUCUGGUUGGAAGUCCCACGGCUGAACCAAGUAAAACUUUUAUCACUAAAAAAACCUAAACACACAAAAAUGAUACUCUUUAACUAUAAUGUCUGCCUGUGAAAAGCCAUUUAAAAACAUUUGAUAAAUUGAGUGGAUUCUCCAUUUCAACUGCAGGGGUAUGUUCAGAAAUUUUGAAUAUUUGGAAGGCCUCAGGAAUGACCUUGGCUAUUGGCUUAAUUUUAACCGAUUGACCUGAUUGUGAAGGAAUGGUGCUCAUAACACCUCCCCUCAUUUAGAGACAUCUUAGGCACAACUGCAAACUCUGCAAACUACAUGAGACCACUGACAGAAGAACUACUUCACAGUUUGGGAGAUGUUUGAUGGUGAUUUUUUUCAGGUAACCACGUUGGCUGGUGGGUGUUUUCCUAGCAGAGCUUUUGCACUACUUUUCUGCUGUUUUAUUGUUAUUUUAAUCUACACAAAUCUGAUGAAUAAAUGAUGGACCUCCUCUUUACCAGCUGUUUAAGAUCAGAAUGUAUGAUUUCAACAGUUCUUUUAUGCCACAUAUAGACUUUAACAGGAACCCAAAAGAAACAUACAAAUAAAAGGUGUCUUUUCGUUUAAAAUCUUUCUCAGGGCGUAAUGAACAAUAUAUAGCAACUCAAAUAUCGACGAGCUGAUUGGAACCCACAAGCAUCCAGAAAGACCACACAGAUUGCACAGCAUACAUCUGCAUUAACUUAACCACUUAACUACUGAUAUAAAUAUCUCCUUUCUGUAGCACGCCCUCUAAUCUGUAUAAAGCUUUGGAAUGUUCCUCAAACAAAAGGCUCCCAUCUCAGAAAAUGUGGGAAUUGCAGUUCUGCGGUUUCCUAAGUCAUGAAGUAGAUAGAAAGUCUGUGUUCGAAUGUGGACUGAAAGACAUUUGAAAACUGAAUCGUAACCCUGGCAAUAUCCUCCCUGUGAGCUCAGGUAAUUUUCAGCCUUGUGCUUCUUUAUCCACUAGUCUAGACUGUUCAAGGCCUUGGGUAUUCUGCAAAGUAAUCAGGAAGAAAACCUGCAGGAUGUGGGAGGGUGGGGAGGUGAGUACCUGGUUAGGACAGAGCUUCUGCACAAACUUUGCACUGGCUUUUAUUGGUGACGUUUCGUGUUCUGGAUCAUUUCUCGUGUGUUUAAACAUUUUCUUCUGCCUCCUGGAAAUCUGAAGUCUUCACGGAACAUUGCACAAAGGGUCAUCAGCACUGCAGUCUACCGAAAUAACUGGGGCCUAUUUAUAAACCACAGGAAACUGUUCUUGCUUGGGAUGCAGUCUGAGUAAAUAAUUUGAAAUAUGGAAAACACUGUGGAUCAUCCAUGUUUUCUCUAUCUACUGUUGCCCAAGCUGGCCUGGGGUGUCUGUGAGUUUCUGCCACCUUUACUCUGAUGGUUCCUGAGACGGCUUUCUCAUUUCUUCAAAUCCUCUUCUUAAGAAGAGGAUCCCUGUUUUGAGAGAGAAGGUUAAAACUUCUGCACCUUCUGGCAGCCCUCCACCAAUUCAGGGAUCUCUCUUCUCCCCUCCUGCUCCUUCUUCCUUCCUCCUCUAUCUCUUUCCUCUGUGUCCUCUCUCCUCUCUCCUCUCUCCUUUUUCCACUUUCAGUCCUGUGUCCUCUCUCCUCUCUCUCCUCUCUGUCUCUCUCUUCUCUCCUCCCGUCUCUUCUCCUACUCUCUCUCAUCUCCUUCUCUCUUCUCUAUGCCUUCUCUUCUCUCUCACCCUCCUCCCUCCCCUCUCCCCUCUCCUCUCCCUCCCUCCCCUCUCCUCUCCCCCUCUUUCUAAACUGUGACUCACUUUCAGUCUGUAACAUGUCACUGAACAUUUGAUGAAGCCCUGCCUUACGCUGUUGUAUCCGUUUGUCUCUUCAUGAAGCUGGAUUUUCUCUGGCAUUUCUGAAGUCUCUAAAACUGUAAACUUCUCCAGUAUCCUUCUUGAUAAGCAAAGUGAAUCAUAUGGCAAUACUGACCAUUUGCUGACAACGGAUGGUAGUUUUCAAAUGGUCUAUAGGUAAAGUAAAUAAGGCUUGAGAACCAGUAUGCAACAUAGACUACAGCUUGAGUCACUGUGGUUGAGUUUUGGGUUAGACACAGUGAAGCAUUGUAAGCUGGACCGUACUUUCUACUCUGGAGCACCCUUGGAAUUCAUCCUUUCUCUCCUACCCUCUUGCCAGCCAAUGUUAGGCUUCAUACCUGGAACAUAACCAAUACCUAAGUUUAUUAGUCAGGUUUCUGUUGCUAAAAUGUACCUGAGAUAAACUUCUUAAAAGGUGGACAUUUUUAUUUCAGCUAACAGUUCCAGGGGUUUCAACCCAUGGUCGGCCAUCUUCCUUAGUCUGAAUAAGAGAUCAUGGUGUAGGGACACAUGGUGUAGGGGAACAAAGCUGCUCACCUCACAGUAGCUGGAACACAGAGGAGGGUCUGGGAUCCCAGUAUCUCCUUCAAGGUCACAUGGCCUAAUUUCUUCGCAUUAGGACCCAUCCCCUAGAGGUUUUAUAGCUCCCCAGGUUGGUGACCAAGCCUUUUUCAAAUGGUCUUUGGAGGACAGUCUGGAGUCAAACUAGCUCUGAGUUUCUGCACUUCACCCCCUUGAGACUUGAACAUUAAUGAAUCUGAGCUGAGCUAACAUUUUGAACCCUCCCCCAAAUCCAAGCAGCCUGACCUUACCUAGGCAUCCUCCACCAAUUAGAAUUCCAUCUGUUUCAUUUUAGAACCACUGUUUUGAUCGAAUCUCUCUUCCUUUACUGCAGUAGCGUACGUAGAAGGAUGCAUAAGAUGCAAGUCCUAAAGGCUUCUGAUAUUAUUUCCAAUUAACAGAGACGAACUCUUCCUGACAAGCAAAACUCUUUCUGCUUUCAGUUAAUUGCAAGGGAACAGGGAGCCUUGGUGAGAGUUUCUAUUGCUGUGAUAAACAUGACCAAAAGCAAUGUGGACAGGAAACGGCUUAGUUCAUCUUACACUCCCAGGCAACGGUCUAUCACUGAGGGAAGUCAAGGCAGGCACUCAAGCAGAGGCCAUGGGGGGAUGCUGCUUGUCCAGCCUGUUUUCUUACAGCAUCCAAGACCACCUGCACAGGGAUAGCACUGCCCACAGUACAUGGUCUCUCCUUUACCAACCAGGAGUCAAGAAAAAUGUCCCCAGCUUGCCCACAAAUCAAUCUGGUUGGAGCAUUUCUCAACUGAAGUUCUCUCUUUUCAAAUGAUUCUAGCUUGUUCAAGUUGACAAAACAAACAAACAAGCAACCUAACCAGGACAGAGUAAAGAGAUUCUGGUGGUUCUUUGAAAGGUACAGGAUGCAGGUCCACUCAGCAUCAGGAACAGAAUGAAGAGUGGUUCUUCUAGGUUAUUAAACAGAGGACAAUUUAGAAUAGGGUUGGACGAAUCUGGAGUCUUUAACCCAGGCAAGAUACACACAUUUUGGAAUGAAUGAAUUGAUUGAUUUAAUCUAUUUUCCAUCAUUCUACCAGAAAGGAUAGAAAUGUUUACUAAAUGAAUAAAGAACUUAACUUUUUUUUGUUAGUUGUGUUCUUUAAAAAAAAAAAGUUGGCUUUAACUUUUCUUAUGUAACAAAACAGUCAAGCAAAGGACAUGGCUUGGUUCUGUGUGCACUGGGCAGGCUGCCUGCAUGAUUACAAGUGCUGGGAGUUGGAGGCUCUUUGUUCCUUGAAGAUUAUCAUGUAAUUCUUCUUCAAUGCAGAAUGUGAAGAAAGUGACUUUCUCUAGAUUACAGCCUGGACUCGGACUGGUCAUUGGGCUCGAGGAUCUCCCUCCUGAAGAAAGAUUCUCUCUGAGAGUCUUACAUUAUGGGGGCUCGUCCGGGAUCGGAGAUCCUCUGCCUAGAGACUACCGACCACCCACCGGGAGGCUAAAAGACCUACAGGUGAUACAGAAAGAAAUCUGCUCACAGCCGACAGCAGCCUAUGCCCCGGAGACCCCUGAGACAUGUCAUCAGUUCCAGGUUAGAGACUGCAGCUACACUGAGCCCAGACACUCGAGCCUCGCUGGAAAGGACCGUACCUGGUGCUGCUGAUCACCCUGACAGCCGUCAAUUCUCAGCCCUCACCAGCAGCGUACUAGCUGUUGGGGCUGAGAGCUGGGACCUAGAGGGACACUCAGAUCUUCAAAAAGCUCCCUAGACUUACACAUCAGAUAAGUGGAUACAUCAGAGACGUGACUGGGAGGUUGCUAUAAUGCUUACUUAAAGAGUGUGCUUUAGAAACAAAAAUUUCAUGUUUGCCUGUUUGCCCUGGGUUCCCUCAAAAUAGAUAUAGAGAUAGGCUUGAUUUUUAUUGCAAAUGGUGUAACAUUACAUAUGUUAGUACUCCUAACACUUCUUGGGACUGUGCCUCAGGGAUCACAACCUAUAUAAGUUUAGAAGUUCUAAAAGACCUUGAUUUAUAGGUUCAGAUAGUGUCCAGAUUAGAAUCCUGAUGCUAAAGACUUAAUAAGACACAAAAGAGAGUUAAAAAUUAUUUAAGGCUAUCUAGGUGCUACAAGGACAACACAAGGACAUCUGCUGUUGCCCUAUAAUGCAAGGCUUAUAGAAAAUUCAAAACUGCCAUUGACUCAGAUAUAAAAAGAAUAAAAAAAGACUUUUUAGCUGACCUCCAAGAACACCUAACCUCCCUCUCAGAGGUAGUCCUUCAAAAUAAGAGAAGAUUAGAUCUGAUAUUCCUUAAAGAAGGAGUCUGUGUGCUACACUAAAAAAAGAAUGUUGUUUCUAUACAGAUCAGACAGGAAUAAUAAGAGAUACAGACUUUCAGUCAUUCAAACUUUUGUGCUGAGACAACAGUAUCAGAUGGUGAAACAACAAGAAACAGAGGUACCUUAACCAAGUUGAGUGGAAGAUUCCACUCAAGGACAAAAAGAAAAUGGGGGAAUGAAAGACCCCCUCCCAGAAAGGAAAUUGUACAAGCCCAAGGCCCUCAACUAUAGAAGUAAAAAGUAAGUUUUUAGAUAUGUGGGACAAGCUGACCCAUCAUUUAGACGAAACAGACCAGAAAAAAAAAAAAACAAAAUACAGAAACCAGACUAAAUUAUGGGCACUGCUCCAUGGGCCACCUGACAAGAAAAAAAAAAGUCCCUGACCCCCCGGAAGCCCUGACCACCAUGUACUUUUUGCUAACUCACUGUUAUGAUUAUAGCCAAAAUAGAUAACAUACACGUAUGUUUCAUUUACUCCACCAAUCACAUCCCUGUAACUAUACAUCUGCUUCUGUAAGCCUGCUUCUGCUCCCCAAAAUACUAUAAAAAGCCCACCCUGGCUCUGUUAGGUGCACCAGUCUUCCGAAUUGACUGGGACGCCCACAGAUACCUGUGUAUCCUGAUCAAUAAAAAUCCUCUUACAGAUUACAGCCUGGACUCAGACUGGUCAUUGGGCUCGAGGAUCUCCCUCCUGAAGAAAGAUUCUCUCUGAGAGUCUUACAAUCUAACUUCUGUGAUGCAGCUGUCUUUCAGAAGGUGCUGGCAGUUUAUCUCUCACACAGAGGAGUAUACUUUGCUCCAGAAUCACAAGAUCUAAUGAAAAAUGACCAGUGGUAAUUAGACGUGCUGUCUCAUCUUUUCCAGUGGAGCCCAGAUCAGCAAUGGACUCAGUGAACCCCGCAGAAGAGAAGGCGGAAAGAUGUAGGAGCUAGAGUGAAUGGAGGACACCAAGAAAUCGAGGCUUUCUGGACACAAGAGGGUUGGUGCACAUAUUAACUCACAGAGACCGUGGCACCAUGCACAGGGCCUGCACAGGUCUGCAUCAGAUGGAGUGCCAGCACUGAGAUGGGAAGUAGAGACACGCCCCAUCCCUAACCCAGAAGCUUCUCCAAUUGAUAUCCAUCUGCAAAUGAAAGAUUAGACAAAUGACUAUUAAGGGCAGGCCCCAUGCUCAGAAGUAGAUGGCUAACACAAAGCAAACUCAAUGGCAUCUCUGGGGGUUCUUUGUCUAAUAAUGUUGUUAGGGGUGCCCACCUCUGCCUCCCCCACCCCCAACACGAGUACUUUGCACACAACACCACACACACACACACACACACACACACACACACACACACACACAGAGGAUUCUGGUUUUAU